GAUGAACGCUGGCGGCGUGCCUAAUACAUGCAAGUCGAGCGAACGGACGAGAAGCUUGCUUCUCUGAUGUUAGCGGCGGACGGGUGAGUAACACGUGGAUAACCUACCUAUAAGACUGGGAUAACUUCGGGAAACCGUAGCUAAUACCGGAUAAUAUUUUGAACCGCAUGGUUCAAAAGUGAAAGACGGUCUUGCUGUCACUUAUAGAUGGAUCCGCGCUGCAUUAGCUAGUUGGUAAGGUAACGGCUUACCAAGGCAACGAUGCAUAGCCGACCUGAGAGGGUGAUCGGCCACACUGGAACUGAGACACGGUCCAGACUCCUACGGGAGACAGCAGUAGGGAAUCUUCCGCAAUGGGCGAAGGCCUGACGGAGCAACGCCGCGUGAGUGAUGAAGGUCUUCGGAUCGUAAAACUCUGUUAUUAGGGAAGAACAUAUGUGUAAGUAACUGUGCACAUCUUGACGGUACCUAAUCAGAAAGCCACGGCUAACUACGUG
rnacentral:rRNA from 1 species